UACGUAGGGUGCGAGCGUUAAUCGGAAUUACUGGGCGUAAAGCGUGCGCAGGCGGUUAUGCAAGACAGACGUGAAAUCCCUCAGCUUAACUGGGGAACUGCGUCUGAUACUGGAUGGCUUGAGUUUGGGAGAGGGAUGCGGAAUUCCAGGUGUAGCGGUGAAAUGCGUAGAUAUCUGGAGGAACACCGGUGGCGAAGGCGGCAUCCUGGACCAAUACUGACACUGAGGAGCGAAAGCCAGGGGAGCAAACGGG
rnacentral:rRNA from 1 species